rnacentral:rRNA from 1 species
UACAGAGGGGGCAAGCGUUGUUCGGAAUUACUGGGCGUAAAGCGUGCGCAGGCGGUUCGUUAAGUUCGUUGUGAAAGCCCCGGGCUCAACCUGGGAACUGCAAUGGAAACUGGAGGGCUUGAGUGUGGCAGAGGGGGGUGGAAUUCCGCGUGUAGCAGUGAAAUGCGUAGAGAUGCGGAGGAACACCGAUGGCGAAGGCAGCCCCCUGGGCCAACACUGACGCUCAGGCACGAAAGCGUGGGGAGCAAACAGG